CGUAAAGCGACCCCCCGCCCUCUUUUAAGUCUGAUGCGAAAGCCCUCGGCUUAACCGACGAAGCGCAUCCGAAACCCGCGAAACUUGACUGCAGAAGACGACAGUGGAACUCCAUGUGUAGCGGUGAAAUGCGUAGAUAUAUGGAAGAACACCAGUGGCGAAGGCGGCUGUCUGGUCUGUAACUGACGCUGAGGCUCGAAAGCAUGGGUAGCGAACAGGAUUAGAUACCCUGGUAGUCCAUGCCGUAAACGAUGAAUGCUAGGUGUUGGAGGGUUUCCGCCCUUCAGUGCCGCAGCUAACGCAUUAAGCAUUCCGCCUGGGGAGUACGACCGCAAGGUUGAAACUCAAAGGAAUUGACGGGGGCCCGCACAAGCGGUGGAGCAUGUGGUUUAAUUGAAGCAACGCGAAGAACCUUACCAGGUCUUGACAUCUUUUGAUCACCUGAGAGAUCAGGUUUCCCCUUCGGGGGCAAAAUGACAGGUGGUGCAUGGUUGUCGUCAGCUCGUGUCGUGAGAUGUUGGGUUAAGUCCCGCAACGAGCGCAACCCUUAUGACUAGUUGCCAGCAUUUAGUUGGGCACUCUAGUAAGACUGCCGGUGACAAACCGGAGCAAGGUGGGGAUGACGUCAAAUCAUCAUGCCCCUUAUGACCUGGGCUACACACGUACUACAAUGGAUGGUACCACGAGUUGC
rnacentral:rRNA from 1 species